rnacentral:tRNA from 1 species
UGAACAUAGUUUUUAAAAUUCUAGUCCGUGAUUCUAGAGAUGAAGAUUAGAAAUCUUCUGCUCACC